CAGUAGCCGCGGUAAUACGUAGGUGGCAAGCGUUGUCCAGAAUUAUUGGGCGUAAAGGGUACGUAGGUGGCCUUUUAAGCGUAGGGUAUAAGGCAAUGGCUCAACCAUUGUUCGCCCUAUGAACUGGAAGGCUUGAGUGCAGGAGAGGAAAGCGGAAUUCCUAGUGUAGCGGUGGAAUGCAUAGAUAUUAGGAGGAACAUCUGCGGCGAAGGCGGCUUUCUGGACUGCAACUGACACUGAGGUACGAAAGCGUGGGGAGCAAACAGGAUUAGAUACCCGCGUAGUCCCUGUCUCUUAUACC
rnacentral:rRNA from 1 species